GAUCAAAUGUUGUCAUGCUUCAUAGCACAACUCUAGGUUACGCUUGGGAUGAUUGAUCUUAAUCAUGAUUUAGAAAACUCAAGAAUACUGGACACAGAAUUGGUGAAAAUAACUCAAGUCCAGAUCAGACUUUUGAAUACAUCUUGUUGGAUUUGACUAGUUAGACAAGCCUACUUACUUGCAUUUGACUGGCCUCUCAGAUUAAUAUAAAGAAUAUUUAUAUGAAUCACUGAGGGUUGGUUAAUUCUAGCCUUAAAUGCAAAAUUUAUAUACUAGCAGGAAAAGAAAGACAAGAGGAACAAAACGACAACUUGAUGUGUGGGAGCCCCCAUCAGAGCCGUUAGUGGAAAUGGCCCCUGAGCACCGGAGCAAUGUUUUCGACAUCCCAGGUGCUUUGGAGUCUUCGCGGUGUACGGGACCUUAAAGCUGAGCUGGCUGUAUUGCCUCGUGGCUGCUCCAGUCCUGUGCUAGACCUCUCGCUGGGUCUCGGGGUUCUCAGCGCCUGUUCAGAAAGCCUGGCAAUGUUUGCCUGGGAGGAAAAGCUCCAUAAAUACACGCUGAAGACACGACUCUGUGGGUCCGUCAGAUGAAACACAGCAUCACCCAGCAUCCACCGAGGAGCCCAGUGCUCAUGGGCACGGUUCUGUAUUUUGGAGGUGCCAUGACUACAGCUUCUUGAAGAAGGCAACUAAGGGAAACGCUACUGUGGAUCUGCACACAUCAGAAAAGGCUUCUCUGACCCCUCAACUGUGUGCAAAAUAAUAAAGGAGAUACCAUGUAGAAUUCAGGUAGAGAGAGGUGCAGACCCAGUAUCCCAGGAAAGGAAAACCUGAAUAAACAGUGGAACUGUGGAAAUUCCAGAGGAUUGUCGUGCCCCUUUGUAGAGACGCUAAAGGCCAGGCAGGGGCAGCAGCAGAAGGCUGUGGGCUGCAGGAAGGAGACCCCCACGGGAGGGCCCUGGUGUCGUGUGAGCCCUGGGCAGGUCCACUCGGUCUUGUGAGGCCUCUGCCUCCUCUCCAGCACCCAGGGCGGGAUUCACCAGGGCCACCACCAACAUGCUGAGACCUGGUGAUCUCCUCAGCCGUUGGUAACUGCUUGGGAGACCACGCCCUGGCUUGGCAGGCUCAGUAAGAGCUGUAGACACCGCCCACCCUCCCUGCAGAGAGAAAACAGCCCCUCACCCCUAGAACACGGACAGUGACAGCCUCAAGUCGGAGGGGCAGGCCCUAUAACUCUGCUUCUUUGACAUUUGAAAAAGAAAUCCUGGAGAACAAAUUUCAAAGAACAAGCAACUCAUAUAUAAAAUAAAACCAAAGAUAUCUGAAAGAAAAUAAAUGAAACCAAGUGACGGGACUUCUCUUCUUUCACUAUCCUUGUCUCCUUUCUCUCUCCCCCGACGUCCCUCCCUCCAUUCCUCUUCCUCUUAUUCUACCAAUACCCAAGCACUGAAGACUGUGUUCUGCAAGCAAUCAUUUUUAUUUCUCAAACCAAAAGUAUGAUUGUAACACUCUGUGUUCGGAGCAUAGUACACAGCUACCAACGUCACCAAAAACCCGUAGAAUGAACACCGUGCACACGCACACACACACACACACACACGUGCGCGCGCGGCAAAAAGAAACAGCUCAUUUCGGAGCUGAGGACAAGGCGUGGGAAGAAGACGCGUUUGGUUUCACCCAGGCGGGUGGCGGCAAAGCUGUGGGAUGCGCGCUGCACACUCCUUCCGUCAUCCCGUUCCCACCUUCCACACACACCUGCGGGAGGUCGGACAUGUCCUGAUUGCGUGUUCAUCACGAUGGCAAACCGAACAUGAGGAGAACGCCACUGACGCUGGGUGCGCCGGCUUUCCCAGCCCUCGUGCAUAACGGGGAGGGAGAUGCAGAAGUUUUUUCCAACAUCGGUGCAAAGGGGAAGCUGAGGUUUUCCUAUGGAGGAGGGUCAGAUCCCUCUCUUCCUCAUCUCCCUCCCCCUCCCCCUUCUCUGUUUCCAGCUCCCUGUGGACUCUGUCCCACCCACAAGCUCGAGGCUGCUGCCACAUGGAAGGCCGGGAGAGAGACGGGCGGCCAGGACAGGGGCCGGCUGUUUGCAGGGGAGGCAUGUGUGUGGAGAACGCCUAGGAGCACGUGGGUGGCCACGAACCCUGACCGUGCAGGUCGAGAAACUCUUCCAGGAUAGUAUGUGGUGGAUCGUGUCUGCCUAAAAGGUCGCUGGGUUACAAACUGUCAAGUCAGAGGAACACUACACGCUGGCACCAGCUGCUCCUCUGUAGCCACCCGUAUGUCCCUCCUGAGCCGUGGCAGGGAGUGACACCUUUGCCAAUACCACCAUCCACAGGGUCAACAUGACCCCGGGCCCUGGUCUUAGUAACUAGAGGAAACACACCGACUUCAGGCAUUGCUCACAGCCAGAGCUGGUGUUAACUGAAGAAUGUUUUAAUUCACCUGCCGAGGAACUCACACAUUCCUUGCCAGCAGGCACAAUGGCUCUUGAUAGCCUGUGUGCAGGGAACAAAUGUGUUGGCCCCAUGCUCAGGCCAUGCGUACACAUAAGAGCUGUCGUCUGGGUCUUGGCUAAAAUAAACUGAAUCUUCCCGAAAACACAGGUUCCUAUUACGGAGUCCAUGAUAGGAAAGAUGUUCAGCUCUGCUGCUAUCAUGGGGAAGUAGAGUGGUUGAUCUGAAAUCUCCAGAUUCUAAUCAAGGAGAAGAAUGCUGUGCUGUGGCCACAGACCCCACCGUGGUCUCAAAGAAAACCUGGAUCAGAGCCCAUCUUCUGAUCAGUGCCACACCUUCACAUGGGUGUGCAGCAUUUUACUGGGUGACUGCCUUUCAGAACCUUCUGGAAUUUUCCAGAUCCUUCCAGAUUGCAAUAAAGAAAAAGAAUGCAAUGUGUGGUCAUUAAUCUCAGCAUGGUCCUGCAGAAGAACUGGCUCUGAGCUGAUCUCCUAAGGGGCCCCACGUCUUCACAUGGGUGUGUAGUAUUUUACUGGGCAACUGCCUUUCAGAACCUUCUGGAAUUUUCCAGAGCCUUCCAGGUUCUAAUCAAGGAAAAGAAGGCAAUGUGUGGUCAUUAACCUCACUGUGGUCCCUCAGAAGACCUGGCUCUGAGCUGUCUCCUGAGGGGCCCCACAUCUUCACAUGAGUGUGCAGCACUUUACUGGGCAACUGCCUUUCAGAACCUUCUGGAACUUUCCAGAGUCUUCCAGGUUCUAAUCAAGGAAAAUAAGGCAAUGUGUGGUCAUUAACCUCACUGUGGUCCCUCAGAAGACCUGGCUCUGAGCUGUCUCCUGAGGGGCCCCACAUCUUCACAUGAGUGUGCAGCACUUUACUGGGCAACUGCCUUUCAGAACCUUCUGGAACUUUCCAGAGUCUUCCAGAUUCUAAUCAAGAAAGAGAAUGCAAUGUGUGGUCAUUAACCUCACCAUGGUCUCACGAAAGACCUGGCUCUGAGCUGAUCUCCUAAAGGGCCCCAUGUUUUCACAUGGGCAUGCAGCAUUUUACCGGGUGAGUCCUUAACUUCGCAGGACACAUUAGAAAGACAAAGGAUGCUAGCAAGUGACAAUUAUAUUUAAAGAAAAGGGCAGGAGACACAGCAUGAAACAGAAUGAUGCAUUGAACAGAACUAGAUUUGGGCUCAGGAGAGCUUGGAGAGCAGCCAGCAUCGACGGGGCGCUUACUAUGGGCUAGGUGCUCAUGCAACAGGUCAGAAGUAUAGCUUCUUAGUCCUGUCUACUGUACAAGGAGGCAAGUGCUAUUAUUAUGCUCCCCACUUUACAGACGUUGAAACUCAUGAGGUUUAGAAAGCCCGAGUAAUGCGUGACCAGCCUGGCCAACACGGCGAAACCCCGUCUCUGCUAAAAAUACAAAACUUCACCGCGUAUGGUGGUGCAUGCCUGUAAUCCCAGCUACUGGGAAGGCUGAGGCAGGAGAAUCUCUUGAACCCAGUAGGCAGAGGUUGCACUGAGGCACUGAGUCGAGAUUGGGCCACUGCACUCCAGCCUGGGAGACAGAGUGAGACUCUGUCUCAAAAAAAAAACAAAACAAACAAAGAAAGCAAGCCCAAGGAACACAAGUCCACACAGCAGGACCUGACACCAACACCAACAGGUCGGAGCUGAGCUGUGCUCCUGGCUGCUACGUGGUUUGUGACUUCACCAACCUGAUGACCUGGUCUUUGGUUUCUUGAUACUUGAAGUCCUGGAUUUCUUACGGAAAAGACCUCCUUCAAAAGGCUAGAGGGUGCUUUCUCCUUCACGUCACAUGUAUGCUCUGAAGACUCAAAAUAUAGUAACAACUCCACAACUCAUUUCCUUCUACAUGAAAACUAUCACAGAGUAACAAUAAAUUAUGAAGAACUAUAGGAAUUUGUCAUUAAGUGAAGUAUCUUUUAAAACUCUGUUAUUAAAAAUGGCAUUUAAAUGAAUGAUUCAAUAAUAAACACCUAGCAUGCAUGGUGUAUGUUAUGAACAUAAGACUGCCACUGAGCUUGCAUUCUGAACUUGAACUUUUCGAGUGUUUUCUGCAUGCCAUUAAAUUUCUACAUGAUAUUUUUGGGCCUAAAAAGAUCAGUAGCCUUCAAAAGGUGACGAUUUAUUAUCACUAGGUAGAGGCCUUAUAAUUUUAUGCCUACAUCAAAAUCAAGAUUAUCCAGGAAGGCUUUUCACAAGGGGUAAAGAACAGGGUUUGAAAGAUGCAAACACGUUGGCAGAACACAUUCAUAGUUCCGUGGCUUGCCUGAUAGAUUGUGACUGUCCUGAAAUUAUAAUAAAGUGUCUGAACUAUUGAUACUUCUCCAGAAUUCCAGUAUCUGUGGAUGGGUUAUUUCCUAGUUGACCCUGAUC
rnacentral:lncRNA from 10 species